UACGAAGGGGGCUAGCGUUGCUCGGAAUUACUGGGCGUAAAGCGCACGUAGGCGGCUUUCUAAGUCGGGGGUGAAAUCCUGGAGCUCAACUCCAGAACUGCCUUCGAUACUGGAGAGCUUGAGUCCGGGAGAGGUGAGUGGAACUGCGAGUGUAGAGGUGAAAUUCGUAGAUAUUCGCAAGAACACCAGUGGCGUAGGCGGCUCACUGGCCCGGUACUGACGCUGAGGUGCGAAAGCGUGGGGAGCAAACAGGG
rnacentral:rRNA from 1 species